AUUGAACGCUGGCGGCAGGCCUAACACAUGCAAGUCGAACGAGUGGCGGACGGGUGAGUAAUGUCUGGGAAACUGCCUGAUGGAGGGGGAAAACUCCUGGAAACGGUAGCUAAUACCGCAUACCAUCAGAUGUGCCCAGAUGGUAUUAGCUAGUUGGUGGGGUAACGGCUCACCAAGGCGACGAUCCCUACCUGGGCUGAGAGGAUGACCAGCCACACUGGAACUGAGACCCGGUCCAGACGCCUACGUGAGGCAGCAUUGGGGAAUAUUGCACAAUGGGCGCAAGCAUGAUGCAGCCAUGCCGCGUGUAUGAAGAAGGCCGUCGGUUGGUAAAGUACUUUCAGCGGGGAGGCGUUACCCGCAGAAGAAGCACCGGCUAACUCCGUGCCAGCAGCCGCGGUAAUAC
rnacentral:rRNA from 1 species